rnacentral:snoRNA from 1 species
GUUGCUUCUUACUGGUGAACUCUCUCUAAUUAAUAAAUAGUGAGGGAUGUUCAUGUUUCCGAAGCAUAGAUUAAUAUUUUUUUGCCAGUUUUAAACAGCGCUGUGUAUGCUUCAAUUGCACUGUUUUGCUACCUGUCUGCUGGUAUAUUU